UACAGAGGUCUCAAGCGUUGUUCGGAUUCAUUGGGCGUAAAGGGUGCGUAGGCGGCGGAGCAAGUCAGGUGUGAAAUCCCGGAGCUCAACUCCGGAACUGCACUUGAUACUGCCUCGCUAGAGUACUGGAGAGGAGACUGGAAUUUACGGUGUAAGCAGUGAAAUGCGUAGAGAUCGUAAGGAAGACCAGUGGCGAAGGCGGCCUUCUGGACAGUGACUGACGCUGAGACGCGAAAGCGGUGGGGAGCAAACAGG
rnacentral:rRNA from 1 species